AUGAACGCUGGCGGCGUGCCUAAUCCAUGCAAGUCGAGCGAACAGACGAGGAGCUUGCUCCUCUGACGUUAGCGGCGGACGGGUGAGUAACACGUGGAUAACCUACCUAUAAGACUGGGAUAACUUCGGGAAACCGGAACUAAUACCGGAUAAUAUAUUGAACCGCAUGGUUCAAUAGUGAAAGACGGUUUUGCUGUCACUUAUAGAUGGAUCCGCGCCGCAUUAGCUAGUUGGUAAGGUAACGGCUUACCAAGGCAACGAUGCGUAGCCGACCUGAGAGGGUGAUCGGCCACACUGGAACUGAGACACGGUCCAGACUCCUACGGGAGGCAGCAGUAGGGAAUCUUCCGCAAUGGGCGAAAGCCUGACGGAGCAACGCCGCGUGAGUGAUGAAGGUCUUCGGAUCGUAAAACUCUGUUAUUAGGGAAGAACAAAUGUGUAAGUAACUAUGCACGUCUUGACGGUACCUAAUCAGAAAGCCACGGCUAACUACGUG
rnacentral:rRNA from 1 species